rnacentral:tRNA from 1 species
AAAAAUUUAGUUAAUAACAUAACAUUAAAAUGUCAUUUUAAAGUAAAUUAUAAUUAAUUAAUUUUUA